rnacentral:misc_RNA from 1 species
GUGAUAAAAUGAAGUUCAAGAACGGAAGUGGAACAUGGGGUAAAGUUUAGGGACAGGCGAUAAAAAUUACCCAAAUUUUGAGAGAAACCAGAGGAGAAAAUCUUGGUUGAAAUUUAUAGUUUGUGAUUUUCUUGAUUGAUAUUUGAUUAGUGUGAUUUGUGCUUAGGGUAGAAGGCUUGGGGUGUUGGUUGGGUUUGGGUUUUCCAUGAAGAGAGAAUAGAGGCCAAGAGAUAGGGUGAGAGAGAGAACAAAGUGAAGAGAGCAAGAAAUAG